rnacentral:rRNA from 1 species
AUUGAACGCUGGCGGCAGGCUUAACACAUGCAAGUCGAGCGGGGUGAUGGUGCUUGCACUAUCACUUAGCGGCGGACGGGUGAGUAAUGCUUAGGAAUCUGCCUAUUAGUGGGGGACAACAUCUCGAAAGGGAUGCUAAUACCGCAUACGUCCUACGGGAGAAAGCAGGGGAUCACUUGUGACCUUGCGCUAAUAGAUGAGCCUAAGUCGGAUUAGCUAGUUGGUGGGGUAAAGGCCUACCAAGGCGACGAUCUGUAGCGGGGCUGAGAGGAUGAUCCGCCAAACUGGGACUGAGACACGGCCCAGACUCCUACGGGAGGCAGCAGUGGGGAAUAUUGGACAAUGGGGGGAACCCUGAUCCAGCCAUGCCGCGUGUGUGAAGAAGGCCUUAUGGUUGUAAAGCACUUUAAGCGAGGAGGAGGCUCUUUUGGUUAAUACCCAAGAUGAGUGGACGUUACUCGCAGAAUAAGCACCGGCUAACUCUGUGCCAGCCGCCGCGGUAA